rnacentral:rRNA from 1 species
GGAUUGGANAUGGGGGCACCCUGAUCCAGCGACGCCGCGUGGAGGAUGAAGGUCUUCGGAUUGUAAACUCCUUUUGGAGGGGAUGAAUGCCCUGGUGAAUAGCCAGGGGUGACAGUACUCUCUGAAUAAGCCACGGCUAACUACGUGCCAGCAGCCGCGGUAAUACGUAGGUGGCAAGCGUUACUCGGAAUCACUAGGCGUAAAGCGCAGGUAGGCGGUUCGGAAAGUCUUUUGUGAAAGCUCCUGGCUCAACUGGGAGAGGUCAAAGGAAACUACCGGGCUAGAGUGUGGUAGGGGAGACUGGAAUUCCCGGUGUAGCGGUGAAAUGCGUAGAUAUCGGGAGGAAUACCUAUGGCGAAAGCAGGUCUCUGGUCCAUCACUGACGCUGAGCUGCGAAAGCUAGGGGAGCAAACAGGAUUAGAUACCCUGGUAGUCCUAGCCCUAAACGAUGCUCAUUAGAUGUGGGAGGUAUCGACCCCUUCCGCGUCGCAGCUAACGCAUUAAAUGAGCCGCCUGGGGAGUACGGCCGCAAGGUUGAAACUCAAAAGAAUUGACGGA